GGUGACUAUAGCAUCAGGGUUCCACCUCUUCCCAUUCCGAACAGAGAAGUUAAGCCUGAUUACGCCGAUGGUACUGCGUAACAGUGGGAGAGUAGGUAGUCGCCGUUU
rnacentral:rRNA from 16 species